rnacentral:ncRNA from 1 species
CCCAGAUAAACCCAAACCCUUCGCGAGGCGGGGACGGAAAGCCACGGGUCUCGAUGAGAUAGCCGGGUUGCCUGG